CACGUAGUUAGCCGGGGCUUUCUGGUAAAGUACCGUCAUCCUAGCAUCAUUUCCUAUACUAGGUAUUCUUCCUUUACAACAGAGUUUUACAACCCAUAGGGCCUUCAUCACUCACGCGGCAUUGCUCGUUCAGGGUUUCCCCCAUUGACGAAUAUUCCUAACUGCUGUCUCCCGUAGGAGUCUGGGCCGUGUCUCAGUCCCAGUGUGUCCGAUCAGCCUCUCAGCUCGGAUAUGCAUCGUUGCCUUGGUAGGCCAUUACCCCACCAACUAGCUAAUACAACGCAAGCCCAUCUUAAAGUGAAGCAAAUGCUCCUUUUAACGUAUCUAGUUAUCUAAUUACGUAUCAUCCGGUAUUAGCGAUCAUUUCUAACCGUUAUCCCAGUCUCUAAGGUAGGUUACCCACGUGUUACUCACCCGUCUGCCACUAAGUAGCAACCCAAUUCCAAUUUUGUGCAAGCACUCCAUCUUCAUUGGACUACUUCGUUCGACUUGCAUGUCUUAGGCAUGCCG
rnacentral:rRNA from 1 species